UGGCGAACGGGUGAGUAACACGUGGGCAAUCUGCCCUGCACUCUGGGAUAAGCCUGGGAAACUGGGUCUAAUACCGGAUAGGACCUCUCUCCUCAUGGGGUUUGGUGGAAAGUUUUUCGGUGCAGGAUGAGCCCGCGGCCUAUCAGCUUGUUGGUGGGGUAAUGGCCUACCAAGGCGACGACGGGUAGCCGGCCUGAGAGAGUGAUCGGCCACAUUGGGACUGAGAUACGGCCCAG
rnacentral:rRNA from 1 species